UUUAUAGAGCAGGGCUGACAAGGUGCCCCUGCUAAGAGCCUUCCCCUGGGAAACAGCCGCCUCCGUGCAUGCUUGCCGAAGCUCAUCAGCGGGGCGUGCGGCUGCCCUGGCUCUCCUGGCGCCACUGCCCAUCCCUGCCCGUGCGUGCAAGGGGCAGAACACCAGCCCCCGGCACAGCCUGCCCCACGCUCGUCCCAGCCUUUGCACCCGUAACGACUGGACCCAGUUCAAAACAUUUGGCAGAGGCUUGGGCAAGGCAGGUGCCACCAGGCUUUUGGACUUUCGGUGGUGAAACGUUGCUCAAUGGGUCUGACCCGUCGGCACUGUACAAAGCUGGGCAAGAAUCAUCCCUGUCUCGUGGCAGGGGAAGAAGUCACCCAACAGAUGAUGCUCUCACUGGACUUUAUCAGCUUUCUCUGAUCAAUCCAUCUCCUCCCCUGCUGAGAAUCGGAGUUCAUUAGCCUGAUUGCACCAGCCAGGACGUUGAAAAGCAGGAUGGGACACAUCAAAGAUCACAGAAGGUGCCCUCCUUCUGCAAGAGCAUCUCUGGAUUCCCCUCACCUCAUCCAAAGCUGAUCUCCACCCCAGCUGCAACAGUGCCCGAGUCACCACACCAGUGAGAGCAGCCUCUGAGCCCCAGCCCCAUGCUCCCAGUGUGGCUUGGCCUCCCCCACUGAAGUCUGCACACACUGCUGCAAGGGAUCCUGGCAGCCCCUCCUCCCAGAAGUGGCACCCGAGGGGCACCCCCACGGAGGGGACCGGAGGGCUCUUGUCUCCGGCAUGGAGCAGCACCUGUGCCCAUGCCCAUCUGCAAAGCAGCCCUGAUGGCGGGUGGGAAAGGGUCUGAGUCAUGAACCCACCGAGUCGAAGGUGAAAUGAGGGAGAAGAGUCACGCAGCAUCCUCGAAGCCCAGAAAAAAUUCCACACAAUGGUCUUGUUUGGGUACCUCAUCUGCAAAAGGCUUUGCAGAAUAAUGUGAACCCCAUGCACAUGAUCCUCCGACUGGCCAACUCUGAUGGUGCUUAAAAUGUGCAUGCAGAGAGAAGGAUGCAGGCAGAUGCAGGAGGCAUGACGGAGAGAAAUUAAGACUGAGACUAGCUGUAACAGAACAGACACCUCGCAUCGGAUCAAUGUCUGCUUUAAUGCAGAAUAUUUCUGCCUCACAAAUGUCUCAUCGUUUCAGGCGGGCACCAGGUUUUGAUGGCAGGAUUGUUCAGUAAGGUUCAUGUGAAGCAGCUGGACACAGGCACCGUUCCUGGGCUACAUUUGUGUAGAGCUCUGUAAAAUGCUUUAACAUUCUAGAAUAAAAGGCCCCAUUUUCCUCAAAAUGAGGGAUUCAUGGUGAUAUUAACACUCCCUUAUCACUGUUGUCGCUGCAGAAGCACAUACACCUCAUCAUCUGCAGCUUGCCAGGGAGAGAACAAACCGUCUUCCCACACUUCAUUUCAGAAAAGUGCCUGCUAACAUUAUCUACACAUGCAUUAAACAGGUGGAGAGAGAUGCCAACGUACAGAUAUGGCAUUAAGCUCAGCCAGAGAGAGGCGGGUGCUGUGCUCAGUUACAAGUGGGCGUGCGAAAGCUGAGAAAUAUACCUAAAUAAUACUCCACUGUCACUGGUUUUCUACCCAUCCCAUUUCUGGUUUCUCUCAGUGACCAUGGGAAAAAGCUUCAGGCCACCCAACAUGCAAAUGCAGCACACAAGGGCAGCUAGAGGAAUCAUGUCCAAGCUGGAUGAUUUUCUGAAAGUAGGUACGAACCAAGCUUCUGUUUUUUUCCAAGCUGCUUGGAAAAAACAUGAUCUGGCUCAGGCCCUUAUUCUGCAACUCAACUCAA